AUGAAUCUGAUUCUUUAUUGGCAGGAUUCCAGUAGCCACCUCUCAGAUGCUCUGGUGAAGAGAUGCUAUGUGAAACAAGACACAGACUUGCAUGGAAAAAGACCAUGUGAUCAUGGUCUGGAAGUAGACACUUCAGACACUGCUACUCCUGACAUCUUGAGCUCUGGAGCCAUGACCCCCGAUCCAUUUGGACUUGGUCUCAAUGCUCCCAGCAAUUCCAAUCAUGGGGCUCUUGGUGUAGUUGGAUCUUUAGAUCAAGAGUUGACCACCAAACUGAAAGAACUGACCAGUCAAGUCAGAGAAACGCAACUUUCUUCCACUGAUGAUGAACUGGACAGGUGUGAGUAUCAAAUGUGGAAUGAAGAAAGCGAAACAAAAGAAAAAGUGAGAGAUGCUACAAUUACGAUUGAGGCUGCUUCAAAAGAAAGUUCAGAUGGAAUUGAAUUCACAAAUCAAAUGAGAUCAACUGAGAUGUUGAAAGAAGACGAUCUGACUUCCAAAUUGAGAGAGUUGACCAGUCAGGUCAGUGAGACAUUACUUUCUUCCAUUGAAGAUGAACUGGACAGGUCUGAGUAUCAAAUUGAAACCAAGGGUAAAAAUCUGUCAAUAAGAACUGAGGUGCUGGGGAGAGAUGACAGGACAGAUGGAAACAAAAUGAUACAAUAUGAUGAGAAAUCCCCAAACUAUGUAGAGAUGGUUGAAAAAUCAGAAGAAGAGAGAUCAGAGAAAACUGUGGCAAAACAGGCAAAAUGUGAGCAAAAUGACACGGGUGAGACCCAAAUGUCAGAAGAAAUUAGCUCUGUGAGCCAAAACCAGACACUUGAUGAGACAAAUACACAAAAUGAGAUAGUUAGAGAGAGAAUUGAAGAGAAAAAGAACAAGGGAGAAGUGCAAACUGAAGAGAAAUAUGCAGAAAUAAAAUAUUGUGGAAGUGCAUUUGAAAGUCAGCAGAGCAGAGAUGAGAAUCCCGAGAUGGUUGAUCACACUGAGGAUCAGGAGGUGUUAUCCUGUGAACUGGCUUUGAGUAGAUUGAUAAGUAAAGAUGGAAAGAUGGAAUUUGAUAGGAUCAUUAAUACUGUAGUGAAGGCUUUGGGUGAUAUGGAAGAACAUAUAGAAGCUUACACUAGUGAGGGGGUAUAUUUAGACAGAGAGAGAAGUGGGGGAGAGAAACAUGAGAUGAUGGAAGAGAAGGAGAAUAUUACUGAACAGGAAACGGAUGACACGAUAUAUAAGGGAUGCUUUGUUGGUGGAAAAUCGAAGGUGGUGCAGGAAAAAGAAAUGAAGGAAGAGGGCAAGAUCAAUGAAGUUGUGGCACUAAAGAGCAACAUUGAAAAUACCAAGGAGAGAGAAGACAAACAAUGCAGCAAAUCACCAGAAGAGAGAGAUCAAGAGGAGGAUGGCAAUAGUCAAGGUGACUUGAUUAAAAACAUGGAAGAACAGAGGGACUCCACAAUUCAACACAGCGCCCCAUCUGGUCAGGAGGAGUAUCUGUCACCGGAGGAGAUCUACAAGGUAAUAACUUCCUACAGUAUAAUAUACUAA
rnacentral:lncRNA from 1 species